rnacentral:rRNA from 1 species
UGGGGAAUUUUGGACAAUGGGCGAAAGCCUGAUCCAGCAAUGCCGCGUGUGUGAAGAAGGCCUUCGGGUUGUAAAGCACUUUUGUCCGGAAAGAAAUGGCUCUGGUUAAUACCUGGGGUCGAUGACGGUACCGGAAGAAUAAGGACCGGCUAACUACGUGCCAGCAGCCGCGGUAAUACGUAGGGUCCAAGCGUUAAUCGGAAUUACUGGGCUUAAAGCGUGCGCAGGCGGUUGUGCAAGACCGAUGUGAAAUCCCCGAGCUUAACUUGGGAAUUGCAUUGGUGACUGCACGGCUAGAGUGUGUCAGAGGGGGGUAGAAUUCCACGUGUAGCAGUGAAAUGCGUAGAGAUGUGGAGGAAUACCGAUGGCGAAGGCAGCCCCCUGGGAUAACACUGACGCUCAUGCACGAAAGCGUGGGGAGCAAACAGG